rnacentral:rRNA from 1 species
AUGUCAAAGAGAGCAUUCCUUAAAGGAUGCCCUGCCAGAGAUGUGUGCUCUAGACGCAUCAACUUUUGCUGCAAGAAACCAUGUAGAUGGAGAGUUUUGAUACAAUACAAAAGGAGGAGGAUAGAUGCCCAAUCAAGCAGCAAACCACAUGAUCCCCGUUCAAUCAAGCACAAGAAGCCUUUGAAAGCUCUUUUGAAGGCAAUGAAGAUAAAGAUUGCCAGAAACUUCAAGGAAGUACAGCCAGAAGAACUUGAUAUUUGUGUGCAAGGGAAUACAAACUUGAAGGGUCGCACAUUCUAUUUUCUGGAUUCUUUCUAUGAUGAGAACAUCUCAUAUCACAAGAACAUAAAAAAGAAGAUUAUCUCAAGCUUUACAUGCACUUGGUACGAAACUCAGCUCCCGCCAAUGGAAUCCAAUGCAUUCCCUGCGGUUUACCCUAAAGUCCCUCAGCAAGAUAACGAUUCUGAUUGUGGCAUUUUCACUUUGAAACUAAUGGGAUGGUACCCAAGGAACCCGGCCCCUAUAGUUUUUUCACCAAAAGACGUCCCGGAUGCAAGGACCAGAUAUGCUGUUGAUCUCAUGUAUAGCCCCUACAACACUUUGUAUGAAGAGAAGAAGAGCGUCAAGGAGUUCCGCCUAUAG